ACCCUGAAUUUCCUAGUCAGAGUAGUGUGAUGGUCAUGGUCCAGGAAGUAGUCUGCAGGUCCUAAUCCAGGAAGUAGGCUGAAGGUCCUUAUCCAGGAAGUAGACUGAAGGUCCUAAUCCAGUAAAUUGGCUGCAGCUCCUGAUCCAGGAAGUAGUCUGAAGGUCCUUAUCCAGCAAUUAGGCUGAAGAUCCUGAUCCAGGAAGUAGUCUGAAGGUUCUGAUCCAGUAAGUAGGUUGAAGGUCCUGAUCCAGGAAGUAGGCUGAAGGUUCUGAUCCAGUAAGUAGGCUGAAGGUUCUGAUCCAGGAAGUAGGCUGAAGGUCCUGAUCCAGGAAGUAGGCUGAAGGUCCUGAUCCAGGAAGUAGGCUGAAGGUUCUGAUCCAGUAAGUAGGCUGAAGGUUCUGAUCCAGGAAGUAGGCUGAAGCUCCUGAUCCAGGAAGUAGUCUGAAGGUCCUGAUCCAGGAAGUAGGCUGAAGGUCCUGAUCCAGGAAGUAGGCUGAAGGUCCUGAUCCAGGAAGUAGUCUGAAGGUCCUUAUCCAGCAAUUAGGCUAAAAGGUCCUGAUCCAGGAAGUAGUCUGAAGGUCCUUAUCCAGCAAUUAGGCUGAAGAUCCUGAUCCAGGAAGUAGUCUGAAGGUCCUGAUCCAGUAAGUAGGUUGAAGGUCCUGAUCCAGGAAGUAGGCUGAAGGUUCUGAUCCAGUAAGUAGGCUGAAGGUUCUGAUCCAGGAAGUAGGCUGAAGGUCCUGAUCCAGGAAGUAGGCUGAAGGUCCUGAUCCAGGAAGUAGUCUGAAGGUCCUGAUCCAGGAAGUAGUCUGAAGGUCCUGAUCCAGGAAGUAGGCUGAAGGUCCUGAUCUAGGAAGUAGGCUGAAGGUUCUGAUCCAGGAAGUAGGCUGAAGAUCCUGAUCCAGGAAGUAGGCUGAAGAUCCUGAUCCAGGAAGUAGACUGAAGGUCCUGAUCCAGGAAGUAGUCUGAAGCUCCUGAUCCAGGAAGUAGGCUGAAGAUCCUGAUCCAGGAAGUAGGCUGAAGCUCCUGAUCCAGGAAGUAGUCUGAAGGUUCUGAUCCAGUAAGUAGGCUGAAGGUCCUGAUCCAGGAAGUAGGCUGAAGCUCCUGAUCCAGGAAGUAGUCUGAAGGUCCUGAUCCAGGAAGUAGG